AUUGAACGCUGGCGGCAGGCCUAACACAUGCAAGUCGAACGAGUGGCGGACGGGUGAGUAAUGUCUGGGAAACUGCCUGAUGGAGGGGGAUAACUACUGUCAACGGUAGCUACUACCGCAUACCAUCAGAUGUGCCCAGAUGGGAUUAGCUUGUUGGUGGGGUAACGGCUCACCAAGGCGACGAUCCCUAGCUGGUCUGCGAGGAUGACCAGCCACACUGGAAAUGAGAAACGGUCCAGACUCCUACGGGAGGCAGCAGUGGGGAAGAUUGCACAAUGGGCGAAAGCCUGAUGGAGCCAUGCCGCGUGUAUGAAGAAGGCCGUCGGGUUGUAAAGUACUUUCAGCGGGGAGGCGUUAGCCGCAGAAGAAGCACCGGCUAACUCCGUGCCAGCAGCCGCGGUAAUUC
rnacentral:rRNA from 1 species